rnacentral:rRNA from 1 species
CCUACGGGAGGCAGCAGUGGGGAAUAUUGGACAAUGGGCGAAAGCCUGAUCCAGCAAUUCCGCGUGUGUGAAGAAGGCCUUCGGGUUGUAAAGCACUUUAGUGGGGGAAGAAACAGCUUGGCCACACCAAGCCUUGACGGUACCCCAAGAAUAAGCACCGGCUAACUCUGUGCCAGCAGCCGCGGUAAUACAGAGGGUGCAAGCGUUAAUCGGAUUUACUGGGCGUAAAGGGUGCGUAGGUGGCUAUUUAAGUCGGAUGUGAAAGCCCGGGGCUCAACCUCGGAAUUGCAUUCGAUACUGAGUGGCUAGAGUUCGGUAGAGGGCGGCGGAAUUUCCGGUGUAGCGGUGAAAUGCGUAGAUAUCGGAAGGAACAUCAAUGGCGAAGGCAGCCGCCUGGGCCUGGACUGACACUGAGGCACGAAAGCGUGGGUAGCAAACAGGAUUAGAUACCCUGGUAGUCCACGCCGUAAACGAUGAGAACUUGACGUUGGUUCGUUUUACGAAUCGGUGUCGCNGCUACGACGAUAGUUACUCCGUCCGUCGGGUAGGUACGGCCGCGAGGUUAGGUAAACGUUAAAGGUAAGUUAGUACGGCGUGAGACGUGCCGACGGACGACGACGAGGGAGGUAGG